rnacentral:misc_RNA from 1 species
GUUUGAAUUAGAAAAUUCUAAAAUCUUCCAGUUCGUUCCAUUUGCGUUUGUCAAUUCCCUAAAUUCCAUUGCUAAUCUCAUACCUUUCCUAAAAAUUGAAAUUUCAAAAUUCGAAUUUCCUCAAAAUUACACAAACAAUCCUACAAUUUUCCCUAUAAUCCUUCAAUUUUUUGUGUUAUCUAGGGUUUUCAUUGGCUCACCCAUGGGUGAAAGGAAAAUAGAGGACUUGCCUCUCCCAUAUCUGUUCGAGCAAGCUCGGAAGAUCCAUUUAACCGCUACAGAGUCCGCUGCUGAUCAGGAGAUGGUGAAGAAGGGAUGUGAGGCACUGGAGAGAUGUGAGGAAAUGAUAAAUAAACUUGGGUUAUUCUCAGCUAAUGAGACCAAGGAUGAUAUCGCCACCACCGAUCUUAAAUAUAUUUUGGUUCCAUAUUAUCUUGCUGAGCUAACUGAAAAAAUAUCACAGGAUGAUAGGAUACAAAUUCUUAAGGCUUCCCAGGCAAAGUUAAAGGAAUUCCUUUCUUUUUGUGAGACAAUGGAACUUGUACCAGAGGAGGAAUUACGUGCAUCUUCUCAAGGAGGUCCAAAUUCUUUUGCAGAAAGAAGAGCCCAAAAGAUUGCACGGUUCAAUCGUCAAAGAGCUGCUCAAGCAAAGCUGCUGGAAGUAAAGGAGCAGAAAGAGCGACGUGGUCGUUCAACUAGAGCUACUGCCCUAUCAACUCCAGUUGAGGCUGGUGAAGAGGAUUUAUCGGAUGAUGAUGGAGAAGAAGAACGGGAGGCUUGGCUUACUACCAUUUCUUUGUCCAUCUGUAAGGCAUUCGACCUACUCGAAAUGUUAAAGAAAGAAGAAGAAAUGCUUUCUGCUGUAAAGGAAAGGCAACUUAAGGAAGGGGACAAGGAAUUUUCUCAAGCUAUUCUUGAUGAGCGAACAAAAAAAGCAGAAGGGUGGCAUCGUGAUGCCGCUACUCGAGCACAAUAUACCAAGCCAGCAGC